rnacentral:piRNA from 1 species
UCACACAUAUGCUGAGGGCCUAUCCUA